UACGUAGGGUGCGAGCGUUGUCCGGAAUUACUGGGUGUGAAGGGUCCGCAGGCGGGCGAGCAAGUCGGUGGUGAAAGUUCACGGCUCAACUGUGAAAUUGCCUUCGAUACUGCUCGUCUUGAGUUCGAGAGAGGAUGAUGGAAUUCAUGGUGUAGCAGUGAAAUGCGUAGAGAUCAUGAAGAACACCAGUUGCGAAGGCGGUCAUCUGGCUCGAUACUGACGCUCAGGGACGAAAGCGUGGGUAGCAAACAGGAUUAGAUACCCUGGUAGUCCACGCCUUAAACGAUGGAUGUUCGGUGUCGGUCCCGCUCAGCAUUUGUUCGCAAGUGUUGAGCGGGAUCGGUGCCUGAGCUAACGCGUUAAACAUCCCACCUGGGGAGUACGAUCGCAAGGUUGAAACUCAAAGGAAUUGACGGGGGCCCGCACAAGCAGUGGAGCAUGUGGUUCAAUUCGAUGCAACGCGAAGAACCUUACCUGGGUUUGAAAAGCUCUGUAAACCGGUGAAAGCCGGGUAGUGUAGCAAUACACGCGGAGUACAGGUGCUGCAUGGCUGUCGUCAGCUCGUGCCGUGAGGUGUUAGGUUAAGUCCUGCAACGAGCGCAACCCUUACACUUAGUUGCCAUCAGGUAAUGCUGGGCACUCUAAGUGGACUGCCUACGCAAGUAGUGAGGAAGGUGGGGAUGACGUCAAGUCCUCAUGGCCCUUACACCCAGGGCCACACACGUGCUACAAUGGUCGGUACAAAGGGCUGCUAAGCCGCAAGGUGGAGCCAAUCCCAAAAAACCGGCCUCAGUUCGGAUUGGGGUCUGCAACUCGACCCCAUGAAGCUGGAAUUGCUAGUAAUCGCGUAUCAGCACGACGCGGUGAAUACGUUCCCGGGCCU
rnacentral:rRNA from 1 species